rnacentral:rRNA from 1 species
AUUGAACGCUGGCGGCAGGCCUAACACAUGCAAGUCGAGCGAGCGGCGGACGGGUGAGUAAUGUCUGGGAAACUGCCUGAUGGAGGGGGAUAACUACUGGAAACGGUAGCUAAUACCGCAUACCAUCAGAUGUGCCCACAUGGGAUUAGCUAGUAGGUGGGGUAACGACUCACCUAGGCGACGAUCCCUAGCUGGUCUGAGAGGAUGACCAGCCACGCUGGAAUUGAGAAACGGUCCAGACUCGUACGGGAGGCGGAAGUGGGGAAUAUUGCACAAUGGGCGCAAGCAUGAUGCAGCGAUGCCGCAUGUGGGAAGGAGGCAUUCGGGUUGUAAAGCACUUUCAGCGGGAAGGCGUUACCAGCAGAAGAAGCACCGGCUAACACCGUGCCAGCAGCAGCGGUAAUAC